rnacentral:pre_miRNA from 1 species
CUUGUACUCCCUCCGUCCGAAAAUACUUGUCAUUGAAAUGGAUGUAUCUAGAUGUAUUUUAGUUCUAGACACAUCCAUUUUGAUGACAAGUAAUUCCAGACAGAGGGAGUACUUG